rnacentral:rRNA from 1 species
UACAGAGGUCCCAAGCGUUGUUCGGAUUUACUGGGCGUAAAGGGUGCGUAGGCGGUCAAAAAAGUCUGAUGUGAAAUCUCGGAGCCUAACUCCGAAACUGCAUUGGAAACUGUUUGACUUGAGGAGUGGAGGGGAGACUGGAAUUCUCGGUGUAGCAGUGAAAUGCGUAGAUAUCGAGAGGAACACCAGUGGCGAAGGCGAGUCUCUAGACAUUUCCUGACGCUGAGGCACGAAAGCAAGGGGAGCAAACGGGAUUAGAUCCCCGGGUGGUCUUGGCUGUAACGGGUGCGAAUUGGUGGGGGGCGGAUCCGACCCCGCCAGUGGCGAAGCUAACGCGAUAAAUGCGCCGCCUGGGGAGUACGGUCGCAAGAUUA